rnacentral:rRNA from 1 species
AUUGAACGCUGGCGGCAUGCCUUACACAUGCAAGUCGAACGGUAACAGGUCUUCGGAUGCUGACGAGUGGCGAACGGGUGAGUAAUACAUCGGAACGUGCCUAGUAGUGGGGGAUAACUACUCGAAAGAGUGGCUAAUACCGCAUGAGAUCUACGGAUGAAAGCAGGGGAUCGCAAGACCUUGUGCUACUAGAGCGGCCGAUGGCAGAUUAGGUAGUUGGUGGGAUAAAAGCUUACCAAGCCGACGAUCUGUAGCUGGUCUGAGAGGACGAUCAGCCACAGGGGGACUGAGAAACGGCCCAGACUCCUACGGGAGGCAGCAGUGGGGAAUUUUGGACAAUGGGCGCAAGCCUGAUCCAGCAAUGCCGCGUGCAGGAUGAAGGCUUUCGGGUUGUAAACUGCUUUUGUACGGAACGAAAAGCCCCGGGUUAAUACCCUGGGGUCAUGACGGUACCGUAAGAAUAAGCACCGGCUAACUACGUGCCAGCCGCCACAGUAA